rnacentral:snRNA from 1 species
GGGGGGGGGGGGUCUGGCUACGACAUCUGUUACUCCAUUGAUUGUCAGGGUUGAUUCGGCUGACCUGGCUGGCUAGGCAGGUGUCCCCUUCCUCCCUCACCACUCCAUGUGCUUCCCUCCCGAAGCUGCACUCUCGGUCGAAGAGGACGGCCUUCCCCAAAGAGAGAGAGAGAGAGA